rnacentral:misc_RNA from 1 species
CGCAGCCGCGGUAAUUCCAGCUCCAAUAGCGUAUAUUAAAGUUGUUGCAGUUAAAAAGCUCGUAGUUGAAUUUCGGGAUCAAUUAAUUGGUCGUGCCUCUGGUACGUACUGAUUUUAUUGGUUUCUCCCUUCUGACGAACCAUGAUGUCAUUAAUUUGGUGUCGUGGAGAAUCAGGACUGUUACUUUGAAAAAAUUAGAGUGUUUAAAGCAAGCUAACGCUUGAAUACAUUAGCAUGGAAUAAUGAAAUAGGACGUUUGAUCCUAUUUUGUUGGUUUCUAGGAUCGACGUAAUGAUUAAUAGGGAUAGUUGGGGGCAUUAGUAUUCAAUUGUCAGAGGUGAAAUUCUUGGAUUUAUUGAAGACUAACUACUGCGAAAGCAUUUGCCAAGGAUGUUUUCAUUAAUCAAGAACGAAAGUUAGGGGAUCGAAGACGAUCAGAUACCGUCGUAGUCUUAACCAUAAACUAUGCCGACUAGGGAUCGGAUGAUGUUAAUUUUUUAAUGACUCAUUCGGCGCCUUA